rnacentral:rRNA from 1 species
UACGUAGGGGGCAAGCGUUGUCCGGAAUCAUUGGGCGUAAAGCGCGUGUAGGCGGCCCGAUUAGUCCGCUGUGAAAGUCCAGGGCUCAACCCUGGGAUGCCGGUGGAUACUGUCGGGCUCGAGUCCGGAAGAGGUGAGUGGAAUUCCUAGUGUAGAGGUGAAAUUCGUAGAUAUUAGGAAGAACACCAGUGGCGAAGGCAGCACUCUGGGACGGUACUGACGCUGAGACGCGAAAGCGUGGGGAGCAAACAGG